GCACCAGCUUGGAUCUGUGGCAAGCCUGCCCCACUGUGUUUCUCACAGUGCCCCAUGCCAGAGUAAACUGGCCUUGAACCAUUGUCUAGCCUCUGCCCAUUGGCAGGCACGGAAGUGAGUUGCACAGUG